rnacentral:misc_RNA from 1 species
ACAAACUUGGUCAUUUAGAGGAAGUAAAAGUCGUAACAAGGUUUCCGUAGGUGAACCUGCGGAAGGAUCAUUACCGAGUGAGGGUCUCUGCACAGAGGCUCAACCUCCUUAAACCCUUUGUCUACUUGACCUCAAAAUGUUGCUUCGGCGGGCCCGUCGUGAAAAUCGACCGCCGGAAGACCUGUGGCUAGGUCUCUGGCCCGCGCCCGUCGAUGGCCCAAUCACAAAAUAUUUGUUAAACGUGUCGUCUGAAGUCUUGAAAAUAAAUUAAAAACUUUCAACAACGGAUCUCUUGGUUCUGGCAUCGAUGAAGAACGCAGC